UACGUAGGUGGCAAGCGUUAUCCGGAUUUAUUGGGCGUAAAGCGAGCGCAGGCGGUUUCUUAAGUCUGAUGUGAAAGCCCCCGGCUCAACCGGGGAGGGUCAUUGGAAACUGGGAAACUUGAGUGCAGAAGAGGAAAGUGGAAUUCCAUGUGUAGCGGUGAAAUGCGCAGAGAUAUGGAGGAACACCAGUGGCGAAGGCGACCUUCUGGUCUGUAACUGACGCUGAUGUGCGAAAGCGUGGGGAUCAAACAGG
rnacentral:rRNA from 1 species